UAAUUAGAUCAGAUCUCAAUCCUAGAUAGU
rnacentral:piRNA from 1 species